rnacentral:rRNA from 1 species
AUUGAACGCUGGCGGCAUGCCUUACACAUGCAAGUCGGACGGUUCUUGUAUCUUCAAGCUUGCUUGCAGGUGCAAGGAUAGUGGCGGACGGGUGAGUAACGCGUGAACAUCUACCCAUUGGAGGGGGACAACCCGUCGAAAGGCGGGCUAAUACCGCGUAAGCCGCGAGGUGAGAGGCUGCCUAUUGGUGGCCGCCGAUGGAUGGGUUCGCGUCCUAUCAGCUGGUUGGUGGGGUAACGGCCUACCAAGGCGAAGACGGGUAGCCGGUCUGAGAGGAUGGCCGGCCACACUGGAACUGAGACACGGUCCAGACUCCUACGGGAGGCAGCAGUGGGGAAUAUUGGGCAAUGGGGGAGACCCUGACCCAGCGACGCCGCGUGAGGGAUGAAGGUUUUCGGAUCGUAAACCUCUGUUGUACGGGAAGAAGGAUGUGACGGUACCGUACGAGGAAGCCCCGGCAAACUACGUG